ACCUGACUGCUAUCGGAUUGGUACUAAGCCAUGCGAGUCAUUGUAGCAAUACAAGGCGGACGGCUCAGUAACACGUAGUCAACCUAACUCGUGGACGUGGAUAACCUCGGGAAACUGAGAAUAAACCACGAUAGAUCAUAGUGCCUGGAAUGGCUUAUGGUCCAAACAGUUUACUGCCAUGGGAUGGGACUGCGGCCUAUCAGCUUGUUGGUGAGGUAAUGGCCCACCAAGGCGAUUACAGGUACGGGCUCUGAGAGGAGAAGUCCGGAGAUGGGUACUGAGACACGGACCCAGGCCCUAUGGGGCGCAGCAGGCGAGAAACCUUAGCAAUGUGCGAAAGCACGACUGGGUCGGUCCGAGUGAUUCCUGAUAAAGGAGUCUUUUGCCUGUCCUAAAAGCACAGGUGAAUAAGGGGUGGGCAAGUCUGGUGUCAGCCGCCGCGGUAAUACCAGCACCUCGAGUGGUCAGGACGUUUAUUGGGCCUAAAGCAUCCGUAGCCGGCUCUGCAAGUCUUCGGUUAAAUCCACCUGCUCAACAGAUGGGCCGCUGGAGAUACUACAGAGCUAGGGAGUGGGAGAGGCAGACGGUAUUCAGUGGGUAGGGGUAAAAUCCUCUGAUCCAUUGAGGACCACCAGUGGCGAAGGCGGUCUGCCAGAACACGUUCGACGGUGAGGGAUGAAAGCUGGGGGAGCAAACCGGAUUAGACACCCGGGUAGUCCCAGUUGUAAACGAUGCAAACUCGGUGAUGCAUUGGCUUAUGGCCAAUGCAGUGCCGCAGGGAAGCCGUUAAGUUUGCCGCCUGGGAAGUACGGACGCAAGUCUGAAACUUA
rnacentral:rRNA from 1 species